AGCAGCCGCGGUAAUUCCAGCUCCAAUAGCGUAUAUUAAAGUUGUUGCAGUUAAAAAGCUCGUAGUUGAAUUUCGGGAUCAAUAUGUUGGUCGUGCCUUGGUACGUACUGGCAUUAUUGGUUUCUACCUUCUGAAGAACUUCGAUGUCAUUAAUUUGGUGUCUUGGGGAAUCAGGACUGUUACUUUGAAAAAAUUAGAGUGUUUAAAGCAGGCUCGCGCUUGAAUACAUUAGCAUGGAAUAAUGAAAUAGGACGUUUGAUUCUAUUUUGUUGGUUUCUAGGAUUGACGUAAUGAUUAAUAGGGAUAGUUGGGGGCAUUAGUAUUCAAUUGUCAGAGGUGAAAUUCUUGGAUUUAUUGAAGACUAACUACUGCGAAAGCAUUUGCCAAGGAUGUUUUCAUUAAUCAAGAACGAAAGUUAGGGGAUCGAAGACGAUCAGAUACCGUCGUAGUCUUAACCAUAAACUAUGCCGACUAGGGAUCGGAUGAUGUUAAUUUUUUAAUGACUCAUUCGGCGCCUUACG
rnacentral:rRNA from 1 species